GGACGGCAACGCGACGACGACGGCCAAAACAAACUCCUUCAAAUAAAUGGUAGUAAAGAUAAUUCGUCGUAUAUUAUCAAUAGUAUGAAUUUAAUACAGUCUUAGAAGUUGAAGUCAUGGGUUUUAUGUUUGGGAAGAGUUCUGCUGAACCCAGUUUGAAGUUGCACUUGUUGCUGCUUGAAAUGCAGCCGUUGUAUCAAGACGUGAAAAUCUAUGAUUUGGCGUUUUAAACAGAGCGAAGGACAAUGUCUAAAUUAUUCAUAUAUUGUAAUUAUUCAAUUCUUUUCAAU
rnacentral:lncRNA from 1 species